rnacentral:rRNA from 1 species
CUGCCUUUAGGACUGGGAUAACUUGGGGAAACUCAAGCUAAUACCGGAUAAUAACUAAGGUUUAAAGUGGGGGACCUUCGGGCCUCACGUCUAAAGAGGAGCCUAUGUUGGAUUAGCUAGUUGGUGGGGUAAAGGCUCACCAAGGCAACGAUCCAUAGCUGUUCUGAGAGGAUGAUCAGCCACACUGGGACUGAGACACGGCCCAGACUCCUACGGGAGGCAGCAGUGGGGAAUAUUGGACAAUGGGGGCAACCCUGAUCCAGCAAUGCCGCGUGUGUGAAGAAGGCCUGCGGGUUGUAAAGCACUUUCAGUAGUGAGGAAGGCUGGGUAGUUAAUAGCUACUCAGAUUGACGUUAGCUACAGAAGAAGCACCGGCUAACUCUGUGCCAGCAGCCGCGGUAAUACAGAGGGUGCGAGCGUUAAUCGGAAUUACUGGGCGUAAAGAGUAUGUAGGUUGUAAAGUAAGUUAGGUGUGAAAUACCCGGGCUCAACCUGGGAACUGCGCUUGAUACUGCUUUACUAGAGUAUUAGAGAGGAUAGUGGAAUUUCCGGUGUAGUGGUGAAAUACGUAGAUAUCGGAAGGAACAUCAGUGGCGAAGGCGGCUAUCUGGAUAAAUACUGACACUGAGAUACGAAAGCGUGGGUAGCAAACAGGAUUAGAUACCCUGGUAGUCCACGCCGUAAACGAUGAGAACUUGCUGUUACGAUGCCAUGAGCAUUUAGUAGCGGAGCUAACGCGUUAAGUUCUCCGCCUGGGGAGUACGGCCGCAAGGUUAAAACUCA